GGCUGUCUGAAGUCGAUCAGUUUCGGUGCCCAGCCUGCACACCCUCAAUGUUAGCUGUCUCAGUGGAUGGGAACCGCAAGCUUUAUCGCUUUAAGAGCCAUUCAGGACCAAAUGGCUUUUUCGAAGGUGUCUUUUUGGCCAACGACACAGAGGUGACCUCUUUUGUCAACCACAUCAGGGCAUCAACAGGACAUAAUCCUGGGAAAGGCAGGUGUGGUGGAAGCGAAUGGGUGGCUGCACGAGAGUCCUGAGGAGCUCAAGAAAUUGGCUGGAGAGUUGUCUAUUCAGGAAGACACUGUUCAGCAAUGGGUGUCUGAUGUUCAACAGUGGACUGCAG